ensembl:snRNA U6 U6 spliceosomal RNA
GUGCUUGCUUCGGCAGCACAUAUACUAAAAUGGGAAUGAUACAGAGAAGAUUAACACGGCCCCUGUGCAAGGAUGACACGCAAAUUCGUGAAGUGUUCCAUAUUUUU